GAGAGGUUAUUCGCUUGGAACUGAUGUCCAAGUGCUAGAGAACAUCAAAAAUGAAGGCGAUAUACUUUUGCUUAUGUAUACCAAUCUUGGCUCUAAAAGUCGAGAACGUACAAAUCAUGAUCAAUCAAUUCAACGCCCAGCUUACCUCAGAAUGGACAACCACACAAAUGGUCCCGGAUGUCGGAUCUAUUAUGGACUGCAAUAUGAAGUGCGAGAGAAUGCAUCCCAACUGCAACGUCUUUUGGUUCGAUAAAUUAAACCAAGAUUGCAAAGUGGGACUUAUUGACGCGUUAGACGUAGUUGGACGAGGAGUUUUUAGCUUUUGCAAGGUUUCAUGGUUUCUUGUCUCAAUAACCUUACAGGUUCGCGAUCUUUUCAAUGAUGAACUGGUUUCUGGCGUCAGAGUAACCGCCAAAUCGGCCCCAGAUAACAGCGAUUACUUCGAGGGCAUCACUAACCCAAAUGGAGAAGCUUACUUCCAAUUUUAUAGACAAACUGAGAUAAUGAUCGAGGUAGGGGGUAAUGGUUACGCUCUGAUGGAGUCAGACAAAGUGAUUGACAAUGCAUUUGAACAGACCAUAACGCUGCAGUUUAUCAAUCUACGGGAGAACGAGUUCAAAAUGCUCAUCACGUGGGGUUGUUGCGUCAGUGAUAUGGAUACUGUGGCUUAUAUCUAUGGGGAUACCGAUUGCUCGCUAUCAAUACAUGGCUCGUGCUCAAGAGGGGAAGAUGGUCUUCUUCAGCAAACCAAUGAUAUUACUAGUCAUUCCACUGGGAAACCAGAGUACCUGGAUUGGACCGGAUUCUUUCCCAAUAACGACAUACAUUUAAUGGGAUUAAAUGGACGCGGCCAGUGCGGACGAUGGGACCCAAUUGGUUUUGGAACACAGGUUUAAAUAUGACUUUGAUUGGUGCGUCCCAUUCUGUAGAAAUCAUUCCAAAAGUACAGUCGUCGACAACCCAAAGGUUUUGGAUCGCCGGAUGUUUCAAACCAUCUGAGGGCUUGCUCAGUUUUCGGGAAAUCAACCAAUAUGUCGACUCCGUCACUCGUGAAUUAUGCCCUAUAGUUGGAUAAUGGCCGAGCAAGGAAGCCUAUGGAUGGUGCUUCUGCUACAGCAUCAGAUUACAUUAUGCAUUAGAGUUAUUCCUGUAAUUUGAAAAAGAAAUAUCUUUUUGAACGAUCA